AGCCUAAUGAAAUUUAUAUUAGGUUAGCUCUGCUCAAUGAAAAUUUAAAUAGCUGCAGUACUUUGACUGUGCAAAGGUAGCAUAAUAAAUUGGCUUUUGAUUGAAGUCUAGAAUAAAUGAGUACAUGGAUAUUUACUGUCUUACUAUAAUUAUUUAUAAUUUUUUUAUUAAGUGAAAAUACUUAAAGGGAUAUAAUAGACGAGAAGACCCUAGAAAUUUUUAAAAAAAAAUUUGUCAUUUUAAUUUUUUGUUGGGGCAACAUAACUACAAUAUUGAUAAAUAUUUAUUAUUUAUUGUUUAUAAGAAAGGUUUAUUUUGAUAAAUUAAAUUACUCUAGGGAUAACAGCGUAAUUUAUUAAUAAGUUUGCGACCUCGAUGUUGGAUUAGGGAUAAAUUAGAUUAGACAUUUAAAGAUCACGUUCUGUUCGAACACUUUUCCCUACAUG
rnacentral:rRNA from 1 species